ensembl:lncRNA
CCCCCCGCCAUGAGGGAUAAUGCGCGUUGAUUGGCUUUUCGUCCUAUCGCUCUUGACUGUGACCAAUCAGAGCCACAAGCGGUGACCAGACGGGCCGGGUGGGGGCGGGGCCUCGCCGCUCGGUGCCCGGCGUGCUGGGGCGCUGAGGUACUUCCCGCCCUCACUGCGCCGCAGCAGCUGAUAGUCUGUCCCUGCGCACCUCUUCUCCACCGGGAGAGCCCCCGGGAAAGCCAUUUCUCUUCCCAAAGGGAAACUUAGGCCAGUUUCCCAGAGGGUCUGAUGGCACGAAAAGGCUGAGGAGCCUCAAGGCUGGCCCAGUGCCUCUGAGAAGCGGGUGAAGUCAUGGCCUGUUGCUUUGAUAAGAGGUGCUGUUCUCCUCCUGUUGGCUUCAGGUGACUCAGCAGUAGUAUGUGGCUGACAUUAAAUUAGAGUCACGUUUACGUAACACGUCAUAGUUUCGACGAGCUGUAACCACAGAGCUGAUGGGAGACUGGGGGGGUGUUUUUUACCUCAGAAGGUUCUCUGUUGGGACUGCCCACGCAGCCGAGAAGCAACUGAAGGGACUCUGCUUUCUUUUUGAGCUGCUUAAAACACAAGUGCUGUAAAAGAAGCGCCGAUUCAGAGUUACAGAAGUGGUGAGAAGAAAAAGGAGAGGUCAAGUAAUGCAGAGAGACAGAAACUCAGAUAUUAAACUUUCAGCAGAUGGAAUGAGUGCCCAUGUGCAAGCUUUGGUAGCAGAACAGCUUCAGGGGUUGGCCUUCAUGAGAAGAGACCUCCAUCUCCAACAGAGCCAGUGAUCUCUGAAAUACACCUGCUGCAGGAUAAAGAUCGAAAAGAAAUAUCUUCCUGGCAGCACUGCGUAUGGAAGGAAUAAGGAAAGUAACAAGGAGAAAGUUGCGCGCAUUUACAACAUGAAGAUGCUAUUCAAGGUCAGAAGAAGAAGGUCUUCUAUCUACGUAGAAGAAGGUGGAGACCAUAUAAACACUCAUUGAAAGAGACCCAUGGAGAAAACAGAAGUAGGGGAAAGCACUACAGCUGGAAAAUAAAUCUUGACAAUCCUCCAUUCUUGCUGUCAGACAACACCAGAAGCACACUGGCUUCAAGCAGUCCAGUAUCAAAGUGGAUUUGGAGAUUUGGCUAUUGCUCUACUGGGAGAUGGUUGGAAGUACAAAGAGGGGAAAAAUAACCGGUGAAUACGUAACAGGAACAACUCGUUCUUGGAUUCAGAGCUGUCUGUGGACAAUCUGUAAGCCAGUGUUUUAAGUAAAAUAUGUGACUAAUGAUCCCUAUGAGGAGCAUGAAGUAAUUAAUACCUGGAGGUGAUAUACAAGGCUGAGGGAAAGUGGGAUGAAGGCGUAACAACAUGGGAGAAUGGCAGUGUUUGAGAAAAGCCCACACCUUUGGAGGUGGCUUCUCAUGGGGGAGCAAGCUGUGAAGAAAGCACAUGAAGAAUAAGGACACAUUUUAAGUGCCUUUAACACAU